rnacentral:tRNA from 1 species
GUCCUUGUAGCUUAAACCAAAGCAUGACGCUGAAGACGCCAAGACGGACACCAUCACUCCCGAGGAC